CAGAGAAAGAGGAACCAGAAGAAAGAGAAACUCGCGACAACAGAGUUGCCGAAAGAGAAGUGUUGGCGCCUCAAACUUGAGGAUCAGCUUCUCGGGCCCCACUCCAAGGUGUCGUGGCGGUCGGGUUCUUUCCGCCGCCCUCCGGAAGAUUCUCAGCUAACCCUUUCUCCGCCGAGACCCAGAGGCCCUCACUCUGACACCACUCCGGGAGCCAAGCUACUGUAAGGAGCUGAUACCACCCCUCGCCGGCGCGAACCGCCCAUCUCCCCAGACCCGCCCACCCCCUGCUGCGCAUCCCUGACGUUCUAGCCCGGCGAAGGUCCUCUUAAAUUAGGAAACAAUAGCUAUUUAGGAAGAAGGGCAAAUAACCCGCGCUCUGCGCGCCCAAUCGUGGAAUUCUUGGGAGUUCCCCGCGGGCAAGGAACUCUGCUGCUCCCGGCAGCUGCGGAAGAGAAGAGGGAGCCUGCGUGCUGGGGCAGGGGCGUCGCGAACUUGGGGCAACCCACUUCCAGGGCCCCGCCCCCGCUUUCCCGCCUGCCGGAGACCCGCCGAAUGGGGAACCACCCUCCUCCCUGAGGCAAAUUUGGAAGGGGAGGGGUCCAGGAGCGGUAGAGCCGGGGCGCCAAGCGCCAGAUUCUGCCGCUCAGAAGUCGGGGGCAGUCCCCAGUCCCGCCUCAGGCCCCGGCGCUCACAGUGCGCACCGCCGAGGGCGCGGGCCUGGCGCGCGGUGUCACCGCCACGAAGUCUUUUAUUUGCCCUUAGGGAGCCGGCCCUCGACCCCUUGGAGGGUGGAGAUUCCUCCCAUUCCCUCCUCCCCCUCCCCCGGGUCAGCGAAGAGACGUGGAAUUGAGCUGGAGCGAUGAUUCCGCGAGCACUGUAAUUACGCACACACUGAAAUCUUCACCGUUGACUUAAGUUACUUGGCGCUGCGAGAGCUGGGGCCCUGCAUAUUGAUUAAAUGCAGCCUCUGUUUACCUAAACAAUAAAUGUAGAGAUUAGCAACGUUCACUUGAUCACAAUAAUGGGAUUGACAAUUAAGGGGCAAUGCAUCCCAGAUGUAGCGGAGCCUAUGGGCUGCAUGCAGCGGGCAGAGGGCUUCUCGGAGAGGGGCGCUCGGGCAGUUGCGGCGGCGGAGGUGGUGCAGAGCAGGAAGCGGCGCGGAAGCACAGCGGGAGGCGGAGGGGGACGCCCAUACUCGUCAAGGUCGCCCACCCCGCCCGGGAGGCUCGAAACUGGCUUUGGGGUACCUGAAUGCCCCGACUCCCAGGGAGACAUCUGGAGCUCGGAGCCACCCUCCCUGCGGCGAUGGCACCUGCCUCAAGGCGGUCUCGCUUGCUGAUGCCUGGCUGGGAAGGAGGAUGGACGCCGCUGGCAUGUGCCCUGGCUCUGGGAAAACUGGCAGGAAUUUCCUUGUCGUGAGAAGAUGGACGAGUGUGUCUGCAGUCGAGGAGACAACUACAAACAGACUUUGGGCAGGGAAGGCGGGCGGGCGGGGGUGGGGGUGGGGGCGGGGGCCAGCUUUGAUCGCUCCAGCUCUGUUGUAAUUUUGUCUUCGCCAGAUAGAUUAGCUGGAACCGCCAGCCCUAGCUUGGAGUUCCGUUCCACGGAGUACCCUCCCUCCCCACCCCCCGCGUCAUCUCGCGCCUGGAGCCGGGUCGCCGCUCCUUCCGAAGUCUCGCUGGAAACUUCAAGGGCUGAUGGUUCUGUGUUCCUGACGUAAUUAGGAGGCCACGCAGCUCUCCAGCACUCCGUUAAACAAAUAUAAUCCUGCAGGCUCACAUUUGAACAGGGAAGGUUCCAGGCAAGUCCACCUUAAGCUUGAGUUUGGGCGAUUACAGAACCCAGGAAGAAAGUCUAGAUGGCACAGUCACUCCGGUCUCAGUUCUACAGGGGAGGGAAGAAAGGGGGUGUUAGUGGGGAUAUUUGCUGUUCAUUUUUCCCCCAAUUUCCCUUCCAAAUCUGUCACGAUUAAUGAGCAAAGCCCAUGCCACAAUUUAUAGAUUAUUGUGGACUGAGGAUCAUUUUGUUGAUAUCAGACAAGAAACUUUCCUUACUUGCAUCCUUGUGUCUGUAUUUACAGUAAAAACUUCCUUAGUCACAAACGGAUAUGCAUUUAGCCAUACCUUUUCUUUUUACUUACUUAUUUUUAAUAAAGCAACAUCAGGAGUUGUGAUAGGAAAUAACAUGGGAGAGGGUGUGUUAAAGGGAAGGAAGGAAAAGCCAAUCUUUAUCCCAGGGUGUCCUGGAGGUAUGCCUACACUCCUGUUUAACGUCUUGUGGUUGUAGUGCCUUCUCCAAGCCCUGGAUAGAGGAGGAAAGAGUUGGAAGCCUCCUCAAAUCUGCCUAUGAAAGGGUAACACUGAGGAAACUGGUACCCUGGCUAGGAGAAACUGAGUAAUGAUCAAAAUCCUGGCCUCUGGCUUUUCUUGAUAUUAGUUCAGGUCUAUGUGAAAAGAUUGCUUUAAUGUCUCCAAAGGUGGUUCCAUUAGAGUUGGCUGAGACAAUACAUGUGCAUCAUUUUGGAAGAGAUGCUCUUAAAAAGAAGAAAGUGACUACAGAAUGCCACAUUUGCUUAGGUCUAAGACCCUUCUUUGGUAGUUGGUGAGGGAGGGAGGAAAGUAAAACCCCAAGCUGAAUAGGCCCCCCAUAGUUUCUGAGUGAUGCAGUAAACAAAUCUAUGAUGCUUGUUGAAUAAUCUUCCAAUAAUUGCAGUCAUUAAAAUCAUCACACAGUCUACAGUCACCUUCCUUCCUUUGACACACCAGUCUUUCCCUUAAUUGUUAAUGCAUUUUGGGCUCAGAUAAACAGAUCGAGGCAAGCUUAAAAUAUAUGGCCCAGAUACAUCUAACAGCAGAAAAUUAGUUGUGUAACAAAUGUUUGGACUAUACUUAAUAGACUAGGAGUUUUCAAUUUCUUCAGUAGACCCUACAGAGGCAAGAAAGAUUUGCAUCUUCUACCACUGCUAAAUAGCAGUGACGCCUCUGAGAUACAAAAAAAAGAAAAGAUGAAAGUCCCAUUGGCCUAUUGAAUCUUCCUUGCUCUUUCAUUUGCAAGGGUUAGGCUGGAAUUAGGACAUUAUAGAACAAAUAUUAAAGGAAAGCUCAACAGAAA